rnacentral:rRNA from 1 species
UACGUAGGGGGGCAAGCGUUGUCCGGAUUUAUUGGGCGUAAAGAGCGUGUAGGCGGCUGGGUAGGUCCGUUGUGAAAACUCGAGGCUCAACCUCGAGACGCCGAUGGAAACCCUCCAGCUAGAGUCCGGAAGAGGAGAGUGGAAUUCCUGGUGUAGCGGUGAAAUGCGCAGAUAUCAGGAGGAACACCGGUGGCGAAGGCGGGUCUCUGGGCCGAUACUGACGCUGAGGAGCGAAAGCGUGGGGAGCGAACAGG